GGGUUUGAUCAUGGCUCAGAACGAACGCUGGCGGCGCGCUUAACACAUGCAAGUCGAACGGCAACGGGUCCUUCGGGAUGCCGGCGAGUGGCGAACGGGUGAGUAACGCGUGGAUACCUGCCCUAUGGUGGGGAAUAACGUCUAGAAAUGGACGCUAAUACCGCAUAAGCCCUAUGGGGGAAAGAUUUAUUGCCAUGGGAGGGGUCCGCGUCGGAUUAGCUAGUUGGUGGGGUAACGGCCUACCAAGGCGACGAUCCGUAGCUGGUCUGAGAGGAUGAUCAGCCACACUGGGACUGAGACACGGCCCAGACUCCUACGGGAGGCAGCAGUGGGGAAUAUUGCGCAAUGGGGGAAACCCUGACGCAGCGACGCCGCGUGGGUGAAGAAGGCCUUAGGGUUGUAAAGCCCUUUCAGUGGGAAAGAUGAUGACGGUACCCACAGAAGAAGCUCCGGCUAACUCCGUGCCAGCAGCCGCGGUAAUACGGAGGGGGCUAGCGUUGUUCGGAAUUACUGGGCGUAAAGGGCGCGUAGGCGGUUGAUCAAGUCAGGAGUGAAAGCCUCGUGCUCAACGCGGG
rnacentral:rRNA from 1 species